rnacentral:rRNA from 1 species
UGAACGCUGGCGGCAUUGGCUAAAACAUGCAAGUCGAACGGCCGCAAGGGCUAGUGGCGAAAAGGGGUUAGUAAUACGAUCGAACGUACCCUAAGGUGGAGGAUAGGCAUGGGAAACUGUGCGUAAUACUCCAUGUGGUCUCCGGACCAAAAAUUUAUUGCCUUUUGGAGCGGCGAUCGUCCUAUCAGCUAGUUGGCGGGGUAAUGGCCCACCAAGGCGAAGACGGGUAGCAGGUGUGAGAGCACGACCUGCAACAUCGGGACUGAGACACUGCCCGGACUCCUACGGGAGGCUGCAGUAACGAAUCUUCCGCAAUGGGCGAAAGCCUGACGGAGCAAUGCCGCGUGCGGGAUGAAGCGCCUAUGGCGUGUAAACCGCUGUCAGGGGACGGAACCAAUGAUUGUCCCCAGAGGAAGUGGCGACUAACUCUGUGCCAGCAGUCGCGGUAAUACAGAGGCCACGAGCGUUAAUCGGAAUCACU